CCAUAAAUGUCUGUCAUAUUCAUUGCUCUAUCCCCAGAGCUACCAGGACCCUGGCAUAUAAUAAGCACUGGGGAAAUAUUUGUUCAAUGACUUACUAAGCAAAUUAUGCUAUUAGAAAGGCAGCUGGCUGGUGUCGGGUUCCUAGGCUGGGAUGCCAACUGAACCUCUGGGGUUAGAAGCAUCCCCUCAGCCUCCUUGGCACUGUGUUCUAACCAGUGAGUAAACCAGCCACCCCAGCCCUGAGAGAAGGCUCAGCUCACCAUAUUAGCAGCAAAUGCUUCCGGACUGCCUGUCACCCGCUGGGCCCAGUGCUGGGCCCUGAGGAGACAGGAUGAAUAUGACCCAGUUCCUUCCCUCUUGGAGCUACCCAGCCACUGGGGAGAGAGAUGGAUAAAGAAGGCAUUGUAUAAUAUCACACAGUGCCAUCCUGGAGAUAUCCAGAUAUCCUGUGGGGACAAACAGGGUAGAAAGCUGUUGAUUGCAAAUUAGUAAAGAAGGCUUCUGGGGCCCCAGUCGCCUGCCUCUGCCUCAGCCUGAUGUUCUUAUUUCCCCCACCUGCCCACAGGCUCUUCUGGCCCCCAAGGUGCUCCUGGACAAACACCAACUGCAGAAGCUGUCCAGGUUCCUCCUGGACCCUUGGGUCUACCAGGGAUCGAUGGCAUCCCUGGCCUCACUGGGGACCCUGGGGCUCAAGGCCCUGUAGGCCUACAAGGCUCCAAAGGUUUACCUGGCAUCCCCGGUAAAGAUGGCCCCAGUGGGCUCCCGGGCCCACCUGGGGCUCUUGGUGAUCCUGGUCUGCCUGGACUGCAAGGCCCUC
rnacentral:sRNA from 1 species